GUCCACGCCGUAAACGAUGAUAACUAGCUGUCAGGGCUCUUGGAGCUUUGGUGGCGCAGCUAACGCAUUAAGUUAUCCGCCUGGGGAGUACGGCCGCAAGGUUAAACUCAAAGAAAUUGACGGGGCCUGCACAAGCGGUGGAGCAUGUGGUUUAAUUCGAAGCAACGCGCAGAACCUUACCAGCGUUUGACAUCCUCAUCGCGGUUACCAGAGAUGGUUUCCUUCAGUUCGGCUGGAUGAGUGACAGGUGCUGCAUGGCUGUCGU
rnacentral:rRNA from 1 species